rnacentral:rRNA from 1 species
CGGAGGGUGCGAGCGUUGUUCGGAAUUAUUGGGCGUAAAGCGCGUGCAGGCGGUUUUGUAAGUCUGAUGUGAAAGCCCCGGGCUUAACCCGGGAAGUGCAUUGGAUACUGCAAGACUUGAGUUCGGGAGAGGUGAGUGGAAUUCCUGGAGUAGGGGUGAAAUCCGUAGAUAUCAGGAAGAACACCGGUGGCGAAGGCGGCUCUCUGGACCGAUACUGACGCUGAGACGCGAAAGCGUGGGUAGCAAACAGGAUUAGAUACCCUGGUAGUCCACGCAGUAAACGAUGAGUACUAGGUGUUGCGGGUAUUGACCCCUGCAGUGCCGCAGCUAACGCAUUAAGUACUCCGCCUGGGAAGUACGGUCGCAAGACUA